AUAAGUCUGAUUGACAUUGAUGAAUUGUCUCUUCAUUUUGACAACCGAUGGAUAAAGUAAAGAUGGCGAGAUAUCGUUUCAGUCGUCGUUUCUUCGGUUGACGAUCUGAUUGUUACUCGUCCACAA